CCUACGGGAGGCAGCAGUGGGGAAUAUUGCACAAUGGGGGAAACCCUGAUGCAGCGACGCCGCGUGAGUGAAGAAGUAAUUCGUUAUGUAAAGCUCUAUCAGCAGGGAAGAAAAUGACGGUACCUGAGUAAGAAGCCCCGGCUAACUACGUGCCAGCAGCCGCGGUAAUACGUAGGGGGCAAGCGUUAUCCGGAUUUACUGGGUGUAAAGGGAGCGUAGACGGCAGUGCAAGUCUGGAGUGAAAGGCGGGGGGUCAACCCCCGGACUGCUCUGGAAACUGUACGGCCGGAGGGCAGGAGAGGUAAGUGGAAUUCCUAGUGUAGCGGGGAAAUGCGUAGAUAUUAGGAGGAACACCAGUGGCGAAGGCGGCGUACUGGACUGUAACUGACGUUGAGGCUCGAAAGCGUGGGGAGCAAACAGGAUUAGAUACCCUGGUAGUC
rnacentral:rRNA from 1 species